GUCUACGGCUGCACCACCCUGAAUGUGCCUGAUCUCAUCUGAUCUGGAAAGUUAAGCAAGAUCAGGCCUGGUCAGUACUUGGAUAGGAGACCAUCGAGGAAUACCAGGUGCUGUAAGAA
rfam:Loxodonta africana unplaced genomic scaffold scaffold_24, whole genome shotgun sequence.